rnacentral:rRNA from 1 species
UACGUAGGGACCGAGCGUUGUCCGGAAUCAUUGGGCGUAAAGAGCGUGUAGGCGGCUUGUUAAGUCUUGCGUGAAAUCUCGGGGCUCAACCCCGAGCGGUCGUGAGAAACUGGCAGGCUAGAGUGCGGGAGAGGAGAGUGGAAUUCCUGGUGUAGCGGUGAAAUGCGCAGAUAUCAGGAAGAACACCCGUGGCGAAGGCGGCUCUCUGGGCCGAUACUGACGCUGAGGAGCGAAAGCGUGGGGAGCGAACGGG